UACGUAGGGGGCGAGCGUUGUCCGGAUUCAUUGGGCGUAAAGCGCGCGCAGGCGGCUUCGUAAGUCGGCCGUGAAAUCCCCGGGCUUAACCUGGGAACUGCGCUUGUUACUGGCAAGCUUGAGUGUGGCAGAGGGGGGUGGAAUUCCACGUGUAGCAGUGAAAUGCGUAGAGAUGUGGAGGAACACCGAUGGCGAAGGCAGCCCCCUGGGCUAACACUGACGCUCAGGCACGAAAGCGUGGGGAGCAAACAGG
rnacentral:rRNA from 1 species